rfam:Triticum urartu cultivar G1812 contig76231, whole genome shotgun sequence.
CUUGUACUUUCUCCGUUCGAAAUUACUUGUCACAAAAAUGAAUAAAAAUAGAUGUAUCUAGAACUAAAAUACAUCUAGAUAUAUCCAUUUAUUUGACAAGUAUUUCCAGACAAAGGGAGUAUUAU